CCUACGGGUGGCAGCAGUGAGGAAUAUUGGUCAAUGGACGAGAGUCUGAACCAGCCAAGUAGCGUGAAGGAUGACUGCCCUAUGGGUUGUAAACUUCUUUUAUAAAGGAAUAAAACGCGGCACGUGUGCCUUUUUGCAUGUACUUUAUGAAUAAGGAUCGGCUAACUCCGUGCCAGCAGCCGCGGUAAUACGGAGGAUCCGAGCGUUAUCCGGAUUUAUUGGGUUUAAAGGGAGCGUAGAUGGGUUGUUAAGUCAGUUGUGAAAGUUUGCGGCUCAACCGUAAAAUUGCAAUUGAAACUGGCGAACUAGAGUGCGGGAGGGGUAAGCGGAAUUCCUAGUGUAGCGGUGAAAUGCGUAGAUAUUAGGAGGAACACCGGUGGCGAAGGCGGCUUACUGGACCGUAACUGACGUUGAGGCUCGAAAGCGUGGGGAGCAAACAGGAUUAGAUACCCUAGUAGUC
rnacentral:rRNA from 1 species